UUACAUACCUGUCAGGGGAGAUACCAUGAUCACUAAGGUGUUUAAAUCAGAGCAAGUAUUAUCCAUUGAACUCCAGAUGUGUUGAGUUCUGUGAUUUUCCAGUUGAGAAAUCCAACUGCAUAAUUUGUGGUAGUGAGGGACUAUUUCUCACUCUCC